GACGAACGCUGGCGGCGUGCUUAACACAUGCAAGUCGAACGGUGAAGCGCCUUCCUUUUUGGUGGGUGUGGAUGAGUGGCGAACGGGUGAGUAACACGUGAGUAACCUGCCCCCUUCUUCUGGAUAACCGCAUGAAAGUGUGGCUAAUACGGGAUAUUCUGGGUCUGUCGCAUGAUGGGUCUGGGAAAGAUAUUGUUUCGGUGGGGGAUGGGCUCGCGGCCUAUCAGCUUGUUGGUGGGGUGAUGGCCUACCAAGGCGGUGACGGGUGGCCGGCCUGAGAGGGUGGACGGUCACGCUGGGACUGAGACACGGCCCAGACUCCUACGGGAGGCAGCAGUGGGGAAUAUUGCACAAUGGGCGCAAGCCUGAUGCAGCGACGCCGCGUGAGGGAUGGAGGCCUUCGGGUUGUGAACCUCUUUCGCCAGUGAAGCAGGCCUGCCUCGUUUGUGGGUGGGUUGACGGUAGCUGGAUAAGAAGCGCCGGCUAACUACGUG
rnacentral:rRNA from 1 species